AACAGGAUUAGAUACCCUGGUAGUCCACGCUGUAAACGAUGUCGACUUGGAGGUUGUGCCCUUGAGGCGUGGCUUCCGGAGCUAGCGCGUUAAGUCGACCGCCUGGGGAGUACGGCCGCAAGGUUAAAACUCAAAUGAAUUGACGGGGGCCCGCACAAGCGGUGGAGCAUGUGGUUUAAUUCGAUGCAACGCGAAGAACCUUACCUACUCUUGACAUCCAGAGAAUUUGCUAGAGAUAGCUUAGUGCCUUCGGGAACUCUGAGACAGGUGCUGCAUGGCUGUCGUCAGCUCGUGUUGUGAAAUGUUGGGUUAAGUCCCGCAACGAGCGCAACCCUUAUCCUUUGUUGCCAGCGAGUAAUGUCGGGAACUCAAAGGAGACUGCCGGUGAUAAACCGGAGGAAGGUGGGGAUGACGUCAAGUCAUCAUGGCCCUUACGAGUAGGGCUACACACGUGCUACAAUGGCAUAUACAAAGAGAAGCGAACUCGCGAGAGCAAGCGGACCUCAUAAAGUAUGUCGUAGUCCGGAUUGGAGUCUGCAACUCGACUCCAUGAAGUCGGAAUCGCUAGUAAUCGUAGAUCAGAAUGCUACGGUGAAUACGUUCCCGGGCCUUGUACACACCGCCCGUCACACCAUGGGAGUGGGUUGCAAAAGAAGUAGGUAGCUUAACCUUCGGGAGGGCGCUUACCACUUUGUGAUUCAUGACUGGGGUGAAGUCGUAACAAGGUAACC
rnacentral:rRNA from 1 species